AGGCCAAGGGCUGCUUGCCUGAUUACAUCAAGGAGAGCUGAGCGUCAGUGUCCGGUCGCACUGCUGAGUCCCUGAUGGCCAGGUUUGGCUUCCCUCUGCAUCAGAAAGACAACGUCAAAGCAACAUUCAUCCCGGAAAAGUUCCCUUGUGAAUUCAAAUGAACUGAUGCCUUACACCAUAUUGGGAGAAAUCACUGCUUUGCAGCUAGAAUCCUUCCCCUCACUGUGCAAUGAAGAGCUUAAAAGGAUCCUAUGAAAAUCAAUCCCAGUUGCAGUGAAAUCGCCCAUUUUCUACAAAGUAGUUUGCUUCAGUUUUCCUUUUUCUCAUUCUUUUCCCCAUUCGAUUGAACAGAAAGAAAUAUUGCCCUUAUUUGAAAGUUAACUGUUAAAAGAUAAGUUCCAAAGUUCUGCCCAGGAAGAAGUUGAAAAAUAGUCAGACCUAAAUCAUGAGUCAUGAGUCAAAAACUGUCAGAGUCCAGGCCACCCUGACCUGAAGAGGUCUUAGCAAUAGGGCAGGUCACCAGCACUCAGGCCCAUCCCCUGAUGUACAAGGAAGCGUCUGUAAAAGAUAAUGUAUGAGGAAUGCCAAUGUUUCAAAUAAUAAUGGUCAUGAUCAGUAUUAAUUAAAGAAGGACAGACAAAAAAAGAACAAUUCGUGUCAGUGCAGUAUCCUGGAUCUAAAAGUCAUCAUAGAAGGAUUCUGUCCCUAUUUAAUUUUAAAAAGUCGCACCAAACCCCACAUAAGAAAUUUUAGUUUAUUCAUGUUUCUUUGGAUGAAAUGAUCCUAUCUCACACUAUUUCCCCAAAAGUUGUUCGAAAGAGAGUAAUUACUAUAGAUUGACUUUUUAUUGCAUCAUUUGAAAUCCGUAAUUUGAGACGAAUAUAAAACAUUUUUAUAAUGUGCAAUGUAAAAAUAUUAUCAGCAUGAAGUAAAUAAAAAUAUACUAAUAUACAUGAUAGCAUGUGUAGCUGCAUUGAAAAAUUCAAAGAUUUGUUUAAUCUAUUUUGUCAUGAUUGUACCUUUAUAUAAAAAUAUAGAUGCAUGCAUGUAAUUUUAUAUUUCUCAAAUAUAUGUUUUGCUUGCUUUUGAUCUGUGCACUCAGAGAAAGUACAUUUUUCUAAAUAUGAAGUUUUAUUUGUGCCUUAAUGAAGGAAAUCAAUUCCCUCAAUUAACAAGUUGCUAAGCAUAAAUAUACAUUUUCUAUUCUCAUUCAUUCCAUGUAUCAGAGAUUUUUCACUGACUUGGGCUCCCGUUUUCUGGACUAUGUGUUUUCUAGCCUUAUCCAUAAACGGUAAGGUAGAAGGAGCAACUUUAAAUUCAGUCCAACUAAGGCAGAAAGAAAUUCAACUCUAAAUGUCACAAAAUAACACUAUAAUUUUGUUUUAA